CAGCACCUCAAGUGGUCAGGAUGAUUAUUGGGCCUAAAGCAUCCGUAGCCGGCUCUGUAAGUUUUCGGUUAAAUCUGUAUGCUCAACAUACAGGCUGCCGGGAAUACUGCAGAGCUAGGGAGUGGGAGAGGUAGACGGUACUCGGUAGGAAGGGGUAAAAUCCUUUGAUCUAUUGAUGACCACCUGUGGCGAAGGCGGUCUACCAGAACACGUCCGACGGUGAGGGAUGAAACCCUGGGGCGCGAACCGGAUUAGAUACCCGAGUAGUCC
rnacentral:rRNA from 1 species